AUUGAACGCUGGCGGCAUGCCUAACACAUGCAAGUCGAACGGUAACGCGGGGGCAACCCUGGCGACGAGUGGCGGACGGGUGAGUAAUACAUCGGAACGUGCCCAGUAGUGGGGAUAGCCCGGCGAAAGCCGGAUUAAUACCGCAUACGACCUACGGGUGAAAGCGGGGGAUCGCAAGACCUCGCGCUAUUGGAGCGGCCGAUGUCAGAUUAGCUAGUUGGUGGGGUAAAAGCCUACCAAGGCGACGAUCUGUAGCUGGUCUGAGAGGACGACCAGCCACACUGGGACUGAGACACGGCCCAGACUCCUACGGGAGGCAGCA
rnacentral:rRNA from 1 species